rnacentral:lncRNA from 1 species
AGUGUAUGACUUGCACAUCAGUGUCUGCACAAACCAGCUAAAACACAUUGUGUAAUUGUUAACCUCAAAUUUGUUCUUCACAGGGAAACGAGUUGGGUGCAGCUUUUUCCUUGUGCAAUUUGAAAAGAAAAAGAGAGAAAAACAUAAAUUGUCAAGACAAAACUGUAGCAAAUUAUAAUAUGGUCAAGUACUCACCAUCGGGAAACAAUAUGCUUUCAAUGAAUAAAUAACAUAUCAUUUUUCAACCAACACUACUGCACAACUCAUCUCAGAAACAUGACUGAGAUUUGACAAACAUACAGGUAGAAGAUCCAAUCCAUGAAAACACUCACAUGCAAAAAACGAACCUAAAUUAUACGCCAACUCAAGCUACAAAAACCCAACUUGUUGAGCACUAGUCAACAAGUUUUAUAGGCAAAUUGAAAUCAAGUAGAAAUUACUUCAGCAGUAACACCAUUUUUUCAACCAAAGAUGCCAGCUUCCUUUCAAUAUCAAAAAGCACAUUCAAUUAGUCCCAAGAUGUGGGACAUAGAUACCUAGUCUUUUAGAUUACAAAAACAGAGUUCUUUUUCUCCAAACAAAAAUAUCUUAAAACAAAGGAAAGAAGAAAAUGAAGUAACAAUUUCACAGCAAUCUUUUAAAGAAACAAUGAGAUUGACAAUGAUUAUGGUUCCAAAACAAUGCCAGACAUUAAAUUAACACAUAAAU